GGUAGUUGUUUUAAACAGUGAUUAAAUUUUUCCCUCUCAACCAAUCAGCUUGCUAGAAACUUUUGUAUAUCUUUCUUUUCCACUAUGUAUUAUCAAGAAGUUGCUUUUUAUUUAAGUGAAUUUUCCCUGAAAAGUAUUGUGGCAGUACCUCAUUUGCGUUGCAGAUGGCUGGCAGCUACUUUUCCAUAUACCAAGACGAGAGAACGCACGCCUUCCAAGAACAGGGUCUGUAAAAUUGGUCUCGGGAUGCUUGGGCCUACAAAAUUUUAGGUCUGCAAAAACUUAAGGGGAUCAUGGUAAGGUACAGGUGGGGUACAGGUGGGACAAACAGUCGGCAAUUACUUGGCGAUUAGAGCUUGAAUUCUUUUGCAUGUUUCUGGAACGUGGAAGAUGCUGGUAAAAAUUGCAGUGCGUAGGUCCCGAUGUGACUGGGUCAAAAAAUCAACAAGCUACAUCUCGAUCCGAACCUCUACCAACACUGCAGCCUCUUUCCUGCGCUUACCUUUGCAACUGACGCUAGGCAUCGAUCUCGGUCUACUUUCUUUCAGGGAUACCGUUGUGCCCUGUCUGCUUCCACAUUUUGCAUACAUAUCUACCAGAGCAGUUGCUACUGCAGAAUUUGACAACAAUCCUCUAUCCUUCAUGCUUCGAUGGAUGUCCAUACCUUCUUUCAAAGCUGCCAUUUUGGCACGAAUAGGGAGGAUGCUUGCAAAGGUUGUGGAUUUUUAAUAUCAGUUUUGAAUACAUUUUAUCUUUCAAUCUUUAAAAUUUUCCUUUAAGUGUUUGUGAUCCAUCUGUAUGUGUCAUGUGAUUCGGAUGACCAGGGAGGAUUCAGUUAAGAAAAUAGCCAAUAAAUCGAGGCGUAAAACACGUUAUAGUUUUCACGUUAUGCGCGCACUACAUAAGAAGGCAUUUUGAGCAAACGUAUGGCGGGAAGUAAAAAAACCGUGUGGAUGUAUAUAGAUUGCACAGGCUAUCCAUCAAUGCCAUAAUCACCGGCACACAUCGGCGCACACAUCUAUGGAAGCCAAGGAUUCUGCAUGUUGUUACGAGAGGUUCAUAACCACAGAUGGAUUUUGCGUUUCGAAGAGGAGAGGUUGCCCUGGUAGUCACGACAGAUGUGAUUGUUUCGAACCAAGUCUGUCGUUCUAGCAAAUUCCUCUAAUCUGCAAAUCUAUAACACCAGGAGUUUUAGUACGAAUUGUUUUUCUGGAUUUUUCUUAGUGAUUGGGCAUUCUUGACCAUCCUCACAAUUUCUCUUCUAAUUGCUAAUGUAAAUAUUGACUAAGAUUAAUUUAAAUCCAUAUGCUUAUGUUGGUACAUAUUCCCCUUCAUUUUUUAGAAUGUUACUAAAAGUGUGCUUUCCAGCACAAGUGUCAUGUGUUUUAAGAACACUACUCGUCAAUUUGUAAUAGCAUGUCUAACACAAUACUAAUUAUAUUGUUCAUCUCAACACAUUUUAUAUGAUUUUGGAGAAUAUCACUAGCAAGUGACAAAUGAAACCUUUUAUGUAUAUCUCAUUGUGUUAUGUGUACUGUUACUGUAAUAAACGCUUCACAAACUUCUAGAUUGGAGUAAUGUCGAGGAUAAUUCAUUCAAAUUAUCUGCAACGUAUUUCAAAAUAUGUAACUAAACUAUUUUUCCUAAUGUUAAAUUAUUUUUCCACUGACGUGUUAUACAUUAGACUAGUCAUAUACGUAUGGCAAUAUCGUGAACAUUGGCCAUCAUGAUUUAGCCACUAUAUGCAUUAUGUUCCUGUCACAAUCUUGAUAUCACUACACUUCCAUGCUAUGGACUAUUCCUCCUUGGUUUUUGACAAUACCCUUCGUGUAAUCUUAUUAGAUCAGUCACUUUGUAUUAUCAUUAUCUUAUUAAGUCUGUCACCUUGUAUUAUCACCAGUUAGUCUCUGCAUUACCCAUAGUGAGACAAUUGUCUUACCUUUACUAUAGUUGCAAUUGAUAAGAUUUUGUACAUUCCUAUGUCAUGGAAGUCGAAUAACUGAUUUCUAAUCUUCACAUUGUUAAUUGAUAAGCUCUUGUACGUUCCCAUGCCAUGGAAGUCGAAUAACUGAUUUCUAAUCUUCAUAUUGUUAAUUUUGUGGCAAGCCCAGAAUGAAAAAGCUGAGAGCAACCAGCAAGUCGAGAAAAAAGCUCAAAACAACAAGAAAACCUACUGAUUCAAAAAUGAAAUAACACAA